CCUACGGGGGGCAGCAGUAGGGAAUCUUCCACAAUGGACGAAAGUCUGAUGGAGCAAUGCCGCGUGAGUGAAGAAGGGUUUCGGCUCGUAAAACUCUGUUGUUGAAGAAGAACGGGUGUCAGAGUAACUGUUGACAUCGUGACGGUAUUCAACCAGAAAGCCACGGCUAACUACGUGCCAGCAGCCGCGGUAAUACGUAGGUGGCAAGCGUUGUCCGGAUUUAUUGGGCGUAAAGCGAGCGCAGGCGGUUUUUUAAGUCU
rnacentral:rRNA from 1 species